UACAGAGGUCCCGAGCGUUGUCCGGAUUUAUUGGGCGUAAAGAGCGUGUAGGCGGUUUGGUAGGUCCGCUGUGAAAACUCGAGGCUCAACCUCGAGACGCCGGUGGAAACCAUCAGACUAGAGUCCGGAAGAGGAGAGUGGAAUUCCUGGUGUAGCGGUGAAAUGCGCAGAUAUCAGGAAGAACACCCGUGGCUAAGGCGGCUCUCUAGUACGGUACUGACGCUGAGACGCGAAAGCGUGGGGAGCAAACAGG
rnacentral:rRNA from 1 species